rnacentral:rRNA from 1 species
GAAAUGCGAUACGUAAUGUGAAUUGCAGAAUUCAGUGAAUCAUCGAAUCUUUGAACGCACCUUGCGCCCCUUGGUAUUCCGAGGGGCACACCCGUUUGAGUGUCGUGAACACCCUCAACCUUCUUGGUUUCUUGACCAGGAAGGCUUGGACUUUUGGAGGUUUUCCUUGCUGGCCUCCCUUUUGAAGCCAGCUCCUCCUAAAUGGAUUAGUGGGGUCCGCUUUGCUGAUCCUUGACGUGAUAAGUAUCCUUCUACGUCUUGGGUUUUGCACUGUUGGCCUGGAACCCGCUUCCAACGGUCUUCGAAAGGAGACGACGUUCGAGUCGCAUCGUGACUUGACCUCAAUGACCUUGACCUCAAAUCGGGUGAGACUACCCGCUGAACUUAA